rnacentral:lncRNA from 1 species
GCUGGAUGUAUAUAUAGCUGGAUUUAUAUUAUUGUAUAGCAUUUUCGAACAGAAUUUCUGGUAGUAACGAAACUACGCUCGUCCGAAUUUUCUUCUAGAACCCAUUUUUGGAUUGCUCUCAACGUUCGAUUCGAUUAAAAUUAGCAGUGAUUUAAAUCGAAUUACAUAUUCGUAUACAGUUGCAAAAUAUGGAUCCUACUGUAAUCGCUACUGCUGGUUGUGCAAUAGGAAGUGCUAUUGUAGCACCUUAUGCUCUUCCAGCAGUCCUUGGAUAUGCAGGAUUUACUUCUGCAGGUGUGGCUGCCGGUCCUCUGGCCGCCACAAUACAGUCGUCAGUGUAUGGUGCAGCAGUUAGUUCUGGAAGUCUAUUUGCUAUAGCACAGAGUAUCGGUGCUGCUGGAUUAGGUGCUGCUGGAACGAUUGCCAGUAGUGGCAUCGGUGCGGUUGUUGGGUUUUUUGCUUAUAAAUAAAUAUACUGAUGAACUGAUGAAUAUAAUCAACUGAUACUAAUAAACUUAAUGUAAUAAAAAUUGUUAUUAAUUUAUUUAGUCAACAUAUACAGUACAAUGGAAUAUAUUGAUUAUAAUAAUAAAUGUGAAUAUUGAUAUUUAACAAAUAGUUUUAAAUCAUUACAUUAUUGAAAUUUACUUGGGAUAAAUUUACAUUGAUGGCACUAACCUUGCUAAAGAAAUUUGUUAUUUGUGCC